ACGGGAGGCAGCAGUGGGGAAUAUUGGGCAAUGGGCGAAAGCCUGACCCAGCGACGCCGCGUGAGGGAAGAAGAUCUUCGGAUUGUAAACCUUAGUCAACAGGGAAGAAGCAAGUGACGGUACCUGUGGAGGAAGCCACGGCUAACUACGUGCCAGCAGCCGCGGUAAUACGUAGGGGGCAAGCGUUAUCCGGAUUUACUGGGUGUAAAGGGAGCGCAGGCGGUAACGCAAGCCAGAGGUGAAAACCCGGGGCUCAACCCCGAGGAUUGCCUUUGGAACUGUGGAACUGGAGUGCUGGAGGGGCAGGCGGAAUUCCUGGUGUAGCGGUGAAAUGCGUAGAUAUCAGGAGGAACACCGGUGGCGAAGGCGGCCUGCUGGACAGUAACUGACGCUGAGGCUCGAAAGCGUGGGGAGCAAACAGGAUUAGAUACCCUGGUA
rnacentral:rRNA from 1 species